rnacentral:lncRNA from 1 species
UUUUUUUUUUCUGGAAAUGUUUUCAUUCUCUGGUUGGUUGAAUCUGCAGAUGCGGAACUCAUGGACAUGGAGAGCCAAGUGUAUUCAAGUGUUCACAGAUAAAUUUGUCAGCACGCCCCCCCCCUUUUUUAACGCUCUUACAACUGUCACUAAAAAAAAAAAAAAAAAAUCAAACGCUGAAGUCUUAGAUCAGCUUUCAAGGCCUGUGGCUACCAUUUAAUCAUUACUGAUGACCCAGAUGAAUACACUUGGCAAACCUGCAGACAGAACUGUUAUUAGGUGAAUACAUUAACAUUUUUAAGCAUAGGUAGAGCAUUCAAAUUGACUUGGGACAACCAGAAAAGCACUUCUUCAAAAGAGGGUAUUUAAAAACUAGAAAAUCCAAUACUACGCUUAAUUCCCAAACAAUGAAAAAGAGGUAAUUUUUUGGGACUUCCAGCCAUGGCUCAGUGGAAACAAACCUUACCAGUAUCCAUGAGGAUGCAGGUUCAUUUCUGCUGAGUCACAAUGAGAACUCCAAGAGAUAAUUUUUUGAUCAGAAGAAAUUCAAUGGCAUAAUAAACAGGUUUAAUAAGAAAUGUUUAUAUUAAAGAACAAAGAAAUAAAUCUCUGCCCAAGUUGCGAAGAAGAGAAAAACAAAAUUAAAGUUAAAAAUUAACAAUAAAACAAAAAAAAAAUAGAAAAAAAUUUAGACAAAUUAACUUCAGUGGAGUGGUGGUGAGCAAGAGAUGAACCUAGAAAUCAUAAAUAAAAAGACUGACAGACAUGAUUAGAUAAUACAGCCUGUAUGUCAAAGGAACCACAAAGUCAUAAGACAAAUGAAAGACUGGGAUAAUAUAUUUGGGCCAUGACAAAAAAAGGGAUUAAUACUAAAUAAACAAAAGCACUCACAAAUUGAUUAAAAAUUAAAAAAUUAGGAGUUCCCGUUGUGGCGCAGUGGUUAAUGAAUCCGACUAGGAACCAUGAGGUUGCAGGUUCGAUCCCUGGCCUUGCUCAGCAGGUUAAGGACCCGGCGUUGCUGUGAGCUGUGGUGAAGGUUGCAGAUGCGGCUCGGAUCCUGCAUUGCUGUGGCUCUGGCAUAGGCUGGUGGCUACGGCUCCGAUUCGACCCCUAGCCUGGGAACCUCCAUAUGCCAUGGGAAGCAGCCCUAGAAAAGGCCGAAAGACAAAAAAAAAAAAAAAAAUUAAAAAAUUAACAACCCAAGAGAAAAAUAAGAUAGAGGAUUGGAAAAGGCAAUAUCCAAAAUGUGGAAUGCAAAUUGGACAAUAAGUGUAUUCAAUUUAUUAGGAAAUGAAAACUAAAAUAAAAUACUUUUCGCCCAGCUGACAGGCAAAAACUGAAGAUACCUAUUAUCCAGUGCCAGUGGGAAUAAGAACUGCAACCAUCUUUAUGGAAAGUAACCUGGCAUAAUAUUGAAAUAAGCCUACUUUUUAACUCAUAUUUGGGAAUUUAUUCUACAAAAGUAAAAGCUUCAUUUCUUAAAGAUAUAUGCAUAAAGAUGCCUACUGUUUAUGAUAUGGAAAAAUAUCAGAAACAACCUAAAUGUCACUGAGAGAAACCUACAUAAAUGGAGCAUUAUGCAGCAAGUAAAAAAAUGAAUAUCUCUUUAAUGAUAUAGAAGAAAAUUAUGAAAUACUAUAAAGCAAAAAAACCAGAAGCUAUAGAAUAAUGUGAAUGGCAUCAUGAAAAUCUUACCCAAAAAAGGAGAGAAAUAAGUCAGUAUGUAUAUCUGUGUUUCUAAGAGCAUAGAGAAAGAUAUGGAAGAAUCAUACUGGGCUAGUAUACUUGGGCAUGCUGGAGGACAGGAACUGGAGAGGAGUAGAUGGUUGGCUUUAUGCAUCUCAGAUGAGGCCCAGCUUGUUUCAUUAAGCCUACACUGCUUUUGUGGUUUGAAAGGAAAAUCCUAUUUGAGUAUAAUUUGUAACAGAAAAGAAACAGAAUUUAAAAAAAAAAGUCUAUAAUGGAAGUGACAGAAAAAAAUAGCUAUUAAAAUUGAUACAGCAUUAGUAUACAAAAGUCAGCCAAAUGAAACACUCAGAAGACAAGAAACAAAAAUAAAUUCUGAGUGUUUUUUGGGUAGGUUUGUAAACAACACCUAUGAAUUCAGGAUUUACCUCCAUUUCAAAAAAAAUAAGUUUUUUAAUUAAGAGCUUUAUGUUUCUUAGUAUUGCCUGCUUAGAAUGUUUUUUCAAAAAGCAAACAUGACUCACCAUAAAAUUCUGUCAAAGAAAUGCUCCCUAUUAUAUAUUUGCAAUAUGUAUUUUUUUGGUUAAAUUAUAUUUAAGUUAGCUACAUCAGAAUCUUGAAAUUUAUCCUUUAUAACAAUGCACCACUCUUUGUUACACUAUAAAAUUUUUAAGCACAUAGUACAAAUUUAAAAGGAAAAUAUCAAAUCUACACUGAACAAAUGGUCAAAUGAUAUGAAAAAGCUAGUUCAGAUAAGAUUGAAAAAUACUUGUCACUUUAAUAUUCGUUUUCUGCUAGUCAGAAAAGAAAUAAAAUGCAACUUCAUGAUGGAGAGAUCCAGCAGUCACAAUAUUAACCCUAUGACUGAUGUUAUCAUCAACAGUGGGAAAACCAGACAUUUAUGCACCUCGCAAUAUGGUGCAAAGUAAAGAAUAUUUAUUAAAUAUUUUUGCCAAAUGUUUAACUAGAAUCUAAUCAAGUCUUAAACCUUCCAGUUUAGGGAAAUACAAGGAAUAAAGGAAUAAGUUAAAUGCCACAAAGAAAUCAAUCAGAUAUAUCCAGGAUGUGGGACAUUCAACAAGAAAACUGCUUUGGUCUCAGCAAAUCAGUGCCAUGUUUUUAAAAAAAAAAAAAAAGGGAAAGAAAAGGUAGGGAGCAGGAGUUCCCGUCGUGGCGCAGUGGUUAACGAAUCCGACCAGGAACCAUGAGGUUGCGGGUUCGGUCCCUGCCCUUGCCCAGUGGGUUAACGAUCCGGCGUUGCCGUGAGCUGUGGUGUAGGUUGCAGA